rnacentral:rRNA from 1 species
CUCCUACGGGAGGCAGCAGCUAAGAAUCUUCCACAAUGGACGAAAGUCUGAUGGAGCGACGCCGCGUGAAUGAAGAAGGCCGAGAGGUUGUAAAAUUCUUUUAUGGAUGAGGAAUAAAGCAGGGAGUGGAAAGCCCUGAAGAUGACGUUAGUCCAUGAAUAAGCUCCGGCUAAUUCCGUGCCAGCAGCCGCGGUAAUACGGAAGGAGCGAGCGUUGUUCGGAAUUAUUGGGCGUAAAGGGCGCGUAGGCUGUUAAACAAGUCUGUAGUCAAAUACCUCGGCUUAACUGAGGGAAGGCAAUGGAAACUGUUUAACUAGAAUUACCUAGGGGAAACUGGAAUUUCUGGUGUAGGGGUGGAAUCUGUUGAUAUCAGAAGGAACACCAAAGGCGAAAGCAAGUUUCUGGGGGAUAAUUGACGCUGAGGCGCGAAAGUGUGGGGAGCAAACAGGAUUAGAUACCCUGGUAGUCCACACCGUAAACGAUGUACACUAGGCAUUGGGCUGACAUGGCUCAGUGCUCAAGCUAACGCGAUAAGUGUACCGCCUGGGGAGUAUGCCGGCAACGGUGAAACUCAAAGAAAUUGACGGGGGCCCGCACAAGCGGUGGAGCAUGUUGUUUAAUUCGAUGAUACACGAGGAACCUUACCUGGGUUUGACAUAUAGUGGAAUUCAUCAGAGAUGGUGGAGCUCUUUCGGGAGCCACUAUACAGGUGCUGCAUGGCUGUCGUCAGCUCGUGCCGUGAGGUGUUGGGUUAAGUCCCGCAACGAGCGCAACCCCUAUCUUUAGUUGCUAACAUUAAGUUGAGGACUCUAGAGAGACUGCCAGCGACAAGCUGGAGGAAGGUGGGGAUGAUGUCAAGUCAGCAUGGCCUUUAUAUCCAGGGCUACAAACGUGCUACAAUGGUUGGUACAAAGAGAAGCGAAGCGGCGACGUGGAGCAAACCUCAAAAAGCCAACCUCGGUUCGGAUUGCAGUCUGAAACUCGACUGCAUGAAGUUGGAAUCGCUAGUAAUCGCAUAUCAGAAUGAUGCGGUGAAUACGUUCCCGGGCCUUGUACACACCGCCCGU